rnacentral:snRNA from 1 species
GAAUGGGAGGGUGACCUGGCUGUAACAUCUGUCAUCUCAUUGAUGGUCAAGGUUGAUUGGGCUGAUCUGGCUGCCUAGGUGAGUGUCCCCUUUCUCCCUCAUGGCUCCAUGUGUGUCCCUCCCAAAGCUGCCCAGUCAGUGGAAGAGGGCAACCUUAGCUGAUAGAGGAGGAUUUUCCUUCAAAGGUAUUCAUGUAACUUCAAACAAGUCCUAAAGGUCUAGUUGUAGAAGGUGAGGCCAGUCAAGCUUCUAAGAUUCCAGAUACAUUCAAAUGAGGUGCUGCAUGGGGCAGCCUUUGU